UGGGGAAUUUUGGACAAUGGGCGCAAGCCUGAUCCAGCCAUGCCGCGUGCGGGAAGAAGGCCUUCGGGUUGUAAACCGCUUUUGUCAGGGAAGAAAUCUUCUGAGUUAAUACCUCGGGAGGAUGACGGUACCUGAAGAAUAAGCACCGGCUAACUACGUGCCAGCAGCCGCGGUAAUACGUAGGGUGCAAGCGUUAAUCGGAAUUACUGGGCGUAAAGCGUGCGCAGGCGGUUUUGUAAGACAGAGGUGAAAUCCCCGGGCUCAACCUGGGAACUGCCUUUGUGACUGCAAGGCUUGAGUGCGGCAGAGGGGGGAUGGAAUUCCGCGUGUAGCAGUGAAAUGCGUAGAUAUGCGGAGGAACACCGAUGGCGAAGGCAAUCCCCUGGGCCUGCACUGGCGCUCAUGCACGAAAGCGUGGGGAGCAAACAGGAUUAGAUACCCUGGUAGUCCACGCCCUAAAACGAUGUCAAACUGGUUGUUGGGAAGGUUCCUUCUCAGUAACGUAGCUAACGCGUGAAGUUGGACCGCCU
rnacentral:rRNA from 1 species